rnacentral:rRNA from 1 species
GAUGAACGCUAGCGACAGGCCUAACACAUGCAAGUCGAGGGGCAGCACAAGGAGCAAUCUGAGGUGGCGACCGGCGCACGGGUGAGUAACACGUAUGCAACCUACCUGUAAGAGGGGAAUAACCCGUUGAAAAACGGACUAAUACCGCAUAACACUGUAGAACCGCAUGGUUUGACAGUUAAACAUUUAUGGCUUACAGAUGGGCAUGCGCAUGAUUAGCUAGUUGGUGAGGUAACGGCUCACCAAGGCAACGAUCAUUAGGGGUUCUGAGAGGAAGGUCCCCCACACUGGUACUGAGACACGGACCAGACUCCUACGGGAGGCAGCAGUGAGGAAUAUUGGUCAAUGGGCGAGAGCCUGAACCAGCCAAGUCGCGUGAAGGAUGAAGGUUUUAUGAAUUGUAAACUUCUUUUGCAGGGGAAUAAAGUGUCCGACGUGUCGGAUUUUGUAUGUACUCUGCGAAUAAGGAUCGGCUAACUCCGUGCCAGCAGCCG